GUGACCUCAAAUCAGGUAGGACUACCCGCUGAACUUAAGCAUAUCAAUAAGCGGAGGAAAAGAAACUAACAAGGAUUCCCCUAGUAACUGCGAGUGAAGCGGGAAAAGCUCAAAUUUAAAAUCUGGCAGUCUUUGGCUGUCCGAGUUGUAAUCUAGAGAAGCGUUAUCCGCGCUGGACCGUGUACAAGUCUCCUGGAAUGGAGCGUCAUAGAGGGUGAGAAUCCCGUCUUUGACACGGACUACCAGGGCUUUGUGAUGCGCUCUCAAAGAGUCGAGUUGUUUGGGAAUGCAGCUCAAAAUGGGUGGUAAAUUCCAUCUAAAGCUAAAUAUUGGCGAGAGACCGAUAGCGAACAAGUACCGUGAGGGAAAGAUGAAAAGAACUUUGGAAAGAGAGUUAAACAGUACGUGAAAUUGCUGAAAGGGAAACGCUUGAAGUCAGUCGCGUUGUCCAGGGAUCAACCUUGCUUUUGCUUGGUGCAUUUUCUGGUUGACGGGUCAGCAUCAAUUUUGACCAUUGGAAAAAGAUUAAGGGAAUGUGACAUCUUUGGAUGUGUUAUAGCCCUUGGUUGCAUACGAUGGUUGGGAUUGAGGAACUCAGCA
rnacentral:rRNA from 1 species